UGAGGUAUUUCUUUAAAAUUUUCAAGUCAGAAAGCUGGAUUUCAUUUGUACUUACAGUAAGCUAUUACUACCAAAAUAACUACACAGCAUGCUACUGACCCAAAUGAUCUCACAUAAUUCAGGGGAAACAACUUAGAAGAUAUAAUAAACCAGAG